UACAGAGGGGGCAAGCGUUGUUCGGAAUUACUGGGCGUAAAGGGCGCGUAGGUGGCCUUCUAAGUUGAACGUGAAAUCCCUGGGCUCAACCCAGGAACUGCGUCCAAGACUGGGAGGCUUGAAUCCGGGAGAGGGAUGCGGAAUUCCAGGUGUAGCGGUGAAAUGCGUAGAUAUCUGGAGGAACACCGGUGGCGAAGGCGGCGUUCUGGACUGCAACUGACACUGAGGAACGAAGCCAGGGAGCAAACGGG
rnacentral:rRNA from 1 species